GUUAGGGACAUAUAUUUUUUUCUUCUCCAUACAUCAUCAGAGUCAUACAUUAAGUAACUACAUGCGUUUCAUAAUCAGUAAACAUUAAUUUCAGGUGAGGGUAGCUUCACGAUAUUUCUCAAUAUUGGCCACCAUUAAUUUGAUAUUUGAGUGAUAUACAAUAAAACUGAACUAUACACAAGCGAAGUUUCAGGCGAUAAACUAAAUGGCUAUAUCCAGAUAUUGUUUGAUUUGAUGGCCAUCUAUAGUGGUGAUGACAGUAGUCCGACUGACUGACAACUUUACCAGGACGAGGACUUGCCGAUGUCAAGCUCUUUCCAAAAGCAUAAUCUAUGAUGAAGUAAGAGUUCCCAGUUGUCUUGAAAACACCAUAACUCCAGAGAAUGGCAGACUUUGAUGACAAAGUUUGAUGACAAAAUUUGCCCACGAAGGACCGCUGCGCCACCUUCCUGUUCAAGUGAGCACAACACGACAAGCACUCUCCAGCAAGAAGUUGAGCAGGUCCUUGUCCUUGAACUCGGUGCCCAUGGUAACCCCCUUGCCACCCUUUAACCUCU